ACCGGUCUUACUAAUAAAAAAUCACUAUACAUGCGUUAUGACAAGGUGAUAGUAAUUCAGUGAAUAGAGCUUGUACAGGGCAUAAACUCCUCUUUGACCAAUAAUCGAUGUGUAUUGGUUGAAUAACAAAACGACCCUUAUUUAUUGUUACCCUGGCAACCCGCCGUGUUUGAUUGACGUUUGAUUUAAUAAUUUUGAUACGACUCAUAAUUCUAAUGUAAGUUGUAUUUAUUUUAUCAACCAAAGCAAUUAUAUACACAUUUACUCAAUAUACUAAUAACAUUUUAUUAUUUGCAGCUAAUAGAAACUCCAAAACCUCAGACAAAGAGGACUAGAAUUUUACAUAAAAAGCCGCGUUCUGCAGUACAAAAGUUAGAAGAGGCAUCUCAAAUAGUGGAAAGUGCCAAACUCCGCAACACGGUAGUGUUCCAGUGUUUCCAGGAAGAGCACGAAACAAAACAAAGGCAGAUGGCUGAAACACAUGAGCUCAAACAGAAGCGACUCGCCGAAGCUCACGAAAGGGCUAGACAGAAGCAUCUUCUAAGGCUCAAAUUGUUACAGCAGCAAUUAAAUAAAUAAUUAUAUACUUAUAAAAAAAAUAAAACCCCCGUUUUAAAUGAAA